rnacentral:rRNA from 1 species
UUGAACGCUGGCGGCAUGCUUUACACAUGCAAGUCGAACGGCAGCGGGGGCUUCGGCCCGCCGGCGAGUGGCGAACGGGUGAGUAAUGCAUCGGAACGUACCCAGUCGUGGGGGAUAACUACGCGAAAGCGUGGCUAAUACCGCAUACGCCCUGAGGGGGAAAGCGGGGGACCUUCGGGCCUCGCGCGAUUGGAGCGGCUGAUGUCGGAUUAGCUAGUUGGAGAGGUAAAGGCUCACCAAGGCGACGAUCCGUAGCUGGUCUGAGAGGACGACCAGCCACACUGGAACUGAGACACGGUCCAGACUACUACGGGAGGCAGCAGUGGGGAAUUUUGGACAAUGGGCGCAAGCCUGAUCCAGCCAUUCCGCGUGAGUGAAGAAGGCCUUCGGGUUGUAAAGCUCUUUCGGCAGGGAAGAAACGGUUUGGGCUAAUACCCUGAGCUAAUGACGGUACCUGAAGAAGAAGCACCGGCUAACUACGU